rnacentral:rRNA from 1 species
UACGUAGGGAGCAAGCGUUGUCCGGAAUCAUUGGGCGUAAAGAGCGCGUAGGUGGCUUUAUAAGUCCGUUGUGAAAGUCAAAGGCUCAACCUUUGAAAGCCGAUGGAUACUGUGAAGCUAGAGUACGGAAGAGGCGAGUGGAAUUCCUGGUGUAGCGGUGAAAUGCGCAGAUAUCAGGAGGAACACCAAUGGCGAAGGCAGCUCGCUGGGACGGUACUGACACUGAGACGCGAAAGCGUGGGGAGCAAACAGG